rnacentral:ncRNA from 1 species
UACCUGAUUGAUUCUGUCAGCGCGAUAUGCUCAAGUAAAAGAUUAAGCCAUGCAUGCUUUGAUUCAUAAAUGAAAUUGCGUACGGCUCAUUAGAGCAGAUAUCACCUUUCUCGGAAUCGUGAAAAGGAUAACUGCGGAAAUUCUGGAGCUAAUACAUGCGACUAUACUCCAACGCAAGGCGGGGUGCAAUUAUUAGAACAGACCAAACGUUUUCGGACGUUGUUUGUUGACUCUGAAUACCGUCGUUUACUGUCAGUUUCGACUGACUCUAUCCGAGAAGGGUGUCUGCCCUUUCAACUAGAUGGUAAUCUAUUGGACUACCAUGGUUGUUACGGGUAACGGAGAAUUAGGGUUCGACUCCGGAGAGGGAGCCUUAGAAACGGCUACCACGUCCAAGGAAGGCAGCAGGCGCGAAACUUAUCCACUGUUGAGUAUGAGAUAGUGACUAAAAAUAUAAAGACUCAUCCUUUUGGAUGAGUUAUUUCAAUGAGUUGAAUAUAAAUUAUUCUUCGAGUAGCAAGGAGAGGGCAAGUCUGGUGCCAGCAGCCGCGGUAAUUCCAGCUCUCCUAGUGUAUCUCGUUAUUGCUGCGGUUAAAAAGCUCGUAGUUGGAUCUAGGUUACGUGCCGCAGUUCGCAAUUUGCGUUAACUGUGGUCGUGACUUCUAAUUUGCUGGUUUGAGGUUGGGUUCGCCCUUCAACUGCCAGCAGGUUUACCUUGAAUAAAUCAGAGUGCUCAAUACAGGCGCUUGCUUGAAUAGCUCAUCAUGGAAUAAUGAAACAGGACUUCGGUUCUUUUUGUUGGUUCUAGAAUUGAUCUAAUGGUUAAGAGGGACAAACCGGGGGC